ensembl:lncRNA
GGGGGAAAAGCACUUCUGCUCACACACGUACAAAGGAAAUCAGAACGGCUCCUUCGAGAAGAGCCUGUUGGGUAAACCCAGCCUCAGAGACACAAAUGCAUCUGGUUCCAGUAAAUAUUAUGGCCCGUUGUUCAUGAAACGCUCUUCUGCUGCUUGAAGAGCACGGAGCACGCUGUGUCGACAGGCACAGCAGCGCCAUGCCCAGGCUGAGCACACAAACCUCCCCAGCACCCCUGGCCAAUGCUGCCAGGGAAAUGCACGACCUGCAGCCCCACAUGGCUCGCUGCACAGACACUGGGGGGCUGUCUUAGUCUCAGGUGCGAUCGAUUUUUCUUCAGUGUCUGCUAUGAUGCUACAACUGUAAUAACACUCUGACGUUUAGAGUUUCUGAGAAGCAGACUCGUACAGAGCCAAGGCCGUUCUCAGCAAAGCUCUCAAGAAGGAGCUGGGAGGAAACCAAAUUAGGACAGCUGCCCUCAACGAGCCAAAGGGAUAUUCCAUACCACAUGACAUCAAGUGGAAGGGGUUUUGAAGGGGGUGGGAGUUCAUCUCACUCUCUUCCUCUGCUUGGCCAUUGGUUGGGAGGUGCUGAGCCACCGCUUCUACAUCACUUGUUACAUACAUUCGUAAAUAGACAUAUAUAUUACUUCGGUCCUUCCUUUUCUCUACCUUUGGAAAGAAAUUUCUCUCAACGCAUUAGUUCCACCUUCUUUUUUUUUCCCCCCAUAAUUCUCUCCCCCAUCCCACUGGGAAGGGGGCAUAAGCAAAGGACUGUGUGGUGCUGAGCCACCCACCGGCUUAAACCACAACAGGGCCGUGGGGCAAUGCCAGCAGACGUGAAGUGCACUGGGCUCAGCAGGAAAUGAAAACCAUCUGGAGGUACGCAAGCCCACUCUUUCAUUUUCCAGGAAACAACCUAUGGUGUCAAUGAAACAUGCCCCUCACUAGGAACAUCUGCAAGGAUGCUUUGAAUGACUGAGGGCAUUGCAGCCCAUUAACGUCACCCUGCCGACACAAUGGCAUUGCAAACACAGCAGCAACUCCUGGCACCGAUACCUCCGGGUACAACAAGCACAGGGCACUGGGUUGCUUUGGAUGCAGUUUGAGGAAGGACGUGAGGGCUUUGUGGAAAGCACCUUGCAGAGCACAUCAUGUCCUGCACCAGGCAGAGCGCUGUGCAUCUCUCAUCUCUCCAAACUUCGGGGCUUUGAAGCUGCACCUUGUUUCUUGGCAGUUUGCCCCCCACAACUCCAGAGCACUUUCAGCUGCUCCCUGGCAAUUCACGGCUUGCACAGUGCCAAACACAACAAAGAAAGGAGGCAAGAAAGAAGCAACAGCCAUGGCUAUGCACAGAAGCGGCCAGGAAGGGUUCAGCUCCAGAAUGAAACCUGCACAAGUCAACUCAGCAGAGUCCAAGGAAUUCAUUGACAUCUGACAGAAUUUGGAAUGCCAGAAGCACUUGCCACACAAACAGCACCGUAUUUGGAAAGCAGCACGUCCAAAUCAGCCCCCUUGCCCUGCUCUACCUGCUCAGCCCAACACAGAAAUCAAACACAGAAACUCUCUCACUUUGGCUCACGGCAGCCAUCAAGCUCAUGCUUUAGUGACACAGAGAACUCCAUCUCCAGCUACUCCGUGUCUCGCUAAGCACAAGCUCGGCUGGGAGCUGUCGCUCAGCCUGACACCACAAGCAGAAAAGAAGCGCACAUAAGCAGAUGCUCUUAUCCACACGUGCAAGUCUGGGGGCGAGGAAUAAAAGGCUCACUGGGCCAUGGGCAAAGCAGGGAGCAGAUAGGCAGGAAAACAGGAAGGAGUUGAAGUCCAGCUCUCCUACACCAAAGACAGGGAGAGCUGAGUCAGCACCACGGGAGGACUUACGACACAGCUUGAGAGCUUACAGAGACCUGAGAUUGCCAAAGGAGGCCACCAGGGGAACUCUCACCAGUCUUUUGCAGGGCUCUCACGGAUGCUUCCCAUGCUGACUUCUCCUGCCUAUGGCAUUGGUAGAAAGCCCAGGUGACAAACGCCCAUUUUGUCUGGGUAAUGCUUGUAUGCUUCCACGGUUAUCACUGAAACAAAAGAAAAAAAAAA